rnacentral:rRNA from 1 species
UACGGGAGGCAGCAGUGGGGAAUAUUGGACAAUGGGCGAAAGCCUGAUCCAGCCAUGCCGCGUGUGUGAAGAAGGUCUUCGGAUUGUAAAGCACUUUAAGUUGGGAGGAAGGGCAGUCACCUAAUACCUUGCUGUCUUGACGUUACCGACAGAAUAAGCACCGGCUAACUCUGUGCCAGCGCCGCGGUAAU